ACUGAACCUUAUCAUUUAGAGGAAGGAGAAGUCG
rnacentral:rRNA from 2 species